rnacentral:rRNA from 1 species
GACGUAGGUCGCGAACGUUAUCCGGAAUUAUUGGGCGUAAAGGGUGCGUAGAUGGUAUAAUAAGUUGCUGGUGGGAAAUCGGGGCUCAACCCCGUGGAAGUUAGUAAUACUGUUAUACUUAGAGAACAGGAGAGGUUAACGGAACUCCAUGUGGAGCGGUAAAAUGCAGAGAUAUAUGGAAGAACACCAAUAAAGGCGAAGGCAGUUAACUAUUCUGUUCUGACAUUGAGGCACGAAAAGCGUGGGAGGCAAAAAAGG